CCUUAAAAUAUCGGUCGGUCACAGACAUUGUCCAACCCAUUUGUGAAAUUGUUUGACGUAGAGAGGAAACCACUGGACAUUCUGUCCGACUUAAGUGAAACUGAGGUUUAUUGUUUGUCUGACCCGAGUGCAUUGGUGUCCGACCUAACUGUAACUUUGUCCAAUGUCAAUCAAAAUGUACCCUAGUCCAGGACUAGAGGCUCGUAUGUUAAAUGGAGAAUCAGAGUAAUGCAUAAAAAGUGAACUGGAAUGUGUAAUCAAGUGCGGGGUUUUCACUGUGGGGUUCGGAAAUUCAUUGCCAAGAUUCAAAUGACUUUUCCAAUUUCCAAAUUGUACUCAUAUUAAUUAGUGUCUGCAUUCAUACUUAUUUCCAAGCCAAACUGAACUCAAAGUCAUCGGACAUCACAAUACAUAUGUCCGGCUCAAAGUCAUUGAACAUUUUGUCAGACGGUUAUCUGAUUCUUCAAGAGAAAAGGCAAGCACAUUGUGUUGCCAGAUAAUAAAGGCACAUUGUUAAUUAGAGU